UACGGAGGGAGCUAGCGUUGUUCGGAAUUACUGGGCGUAAAGCGCACGUAGGCGGCUUUGUAAGUUAGAGGUGAAAGCCCGGGGCUCAACUCCGGAACUGCCUUUAAGACUGCAUCGCUUGAAUCCAGGAGAGGUGAGUGGAAUUCCGAGUGUAGAGGUGAAAUUCGUAGAUAUUCGGAAGAACACCAGUGGCGAAGGCGGCUCACUGGACUGGUAUUGACGCUGAUGCGCGAAAGCCAGGGGAGCAAACGGG
rnacentral:rRNA from 1 species